rnacentral:rRNA from 1 species
UUCCGGUUGAUCCUGCCGGAGGCCACUGCUAUGGGGGUCCGACUAAGCCAUGCGAGUCAUGGGGCGCCUUGCGCGCACCGGCGGACGGCUCAGUAACACGUCGGUAACCUACCCUCGGGAGGGGGAUAACCCCGGGAAACUGGGGCUAAUCCCCCAUAGGCCUGAGGUACUGGAAGGUCCUCAGGCCGAAAGGGGCUCUGCCCGCCCGAGGAUGGGCCGGCGGCCGAUUAGGUAGUUGGUGGGGUAACGGCCCACCAAGCCGAAGAUCGGUACGGGCCAUGAGAGUGGGAGCCCGGAGAUGGACACUGAGACACGGGUCCAGGCCCUACGGGGCGCAGCAGGCGCGAAACCUCCGCAAUGCGGGCAACCGCGACGGGGGGACCCCCAGUGCCGUGGCAUCGCCACGGCUUUUCCGGAGUGUAAAGAGCUCCGGGAAUAAGGGCUGGGCAAGGCCGGUGGCAGCCGCCGCGGUAAUACCGGCGGCCCGAGUGGUGGCCGCUAUUAUUGGGCCUAAAGCGUCCGUAGCCGGGCCCGUAAGUCCCUGGCGAAAUCCCACGGCUCAACCGUGGGGCUUGCUGGGGAUACUGCGGGCCUUGGGACCGGGAGAGGCGGAGGGUACUCCUGGGGUAGGGGUGAAAUCCUAUAAUCCCAGGAGGACCGCCAGUGGCGAAGGCGCUCCGCUGGAACGGGUCCGACGGUGAGGGACGAAGGCCAGGGGAGCGAACCGGAUUAGAUACCCGGGUAGUCCUGGCUGUAAAGGAUGCGGGCUAGGUGUCGGGCGAGCUUCGUGCUCGCCCGGUGCCGAAGGGAAGCCGUUAAGCCCGCCGCCUGGGGAGUACGGCCGCAAGGCUGAAACUUAAAGGAAUUGGCGGGGGAGCACUACAAGGGGUGGAGCGUGCGGUUUAAUUGGAAUCAACGCCGGA